CGCAGCCGGCUCCUCUCUCCCCGCUCGUCUCCUCCUCUCCUCUUCCCUCGACGCUGGCUCCUCGCUCCCCUGUCUGCUUCCCUCUCCGACCAGGGCCAGAGCCUCGCCGGCCGCUCCCCCGAGCGACGCCCACUAGCUGCUCUCCAGAUGCGUCCCCCCCGAGAUCCGGGUACAGAGAGAGUCGUGGUGGCAGGGGGCAGAUGCGUGAGGAGGAGGAGGCCGUGGUCAUGGUGGCGCAACGGAGGUCGUGGCUCGCCCCCCGCCGCCUCUCUCGCGCCCCCCUUUUCCUUGCCCCUCCCCAGCGUCCUUGCCUCUGCCAUGGCCUCCGCCCCCCUCUCCGCGUCACCCCCGCAGCCGCCUCCUCUCCUGCCGCCGCGCCGCCUCAGCCUCGUCUCCUCUGCGCCGCCUCCCCCUCUCCACUUCUCUCCGCCACCGCAUGGCCGCCGUCGCUGCCGCCGCUCGUCUCUUUCUUCACGCAGCUCCUGCAGGACGACGCAUCCCCAUCCUCCAUCAGCCGCUGUGGUGCGCCAUGGUUCUUGACCGGCCGCAGAUCCAGGAGCAGAGGAGGACGGCGGUGGGGGGAAGGAAGAGCGCGGCCUGGACUCGGCAGGAGGAGAGGAGCAGCAGCAGAUCGGGCUUAGGUUAGGCGAGGCUCGUGGUGCUCAGGCUUCAAGGCGUGCACUACGUGGACGUGGACCGAGCGCGGGACAAGGUGACGGUGACCGGCACGGCGAGCCAGAAGAAGGUGUUGCGCGUGGCGCGGCGCACGAGGAAGCUCGCCCACGCCCCUCCUCCGCUCGCUCUCGUCUCCGUCAGGCUGCUGAUGUUCACUCCAUUGGAGCUGAGUCUCCUUGCCGGCGACCUUGCCAUCACCAGGCUGUCUACAGGGAUGGACAUAUGGAUUGAAUGGUACCCUCCUGAAACCUACGCAGGUGUCAGAUCUAAGAAAGAAGAAAUAGGGCCAAGAAAAUUAGAUCGGAGAACGAAGAGAUGAAGAACAAUGUUAGCUGAAGAGUUGAAGAAGACCAAGGUGAAUUUUAACCGUCUUGCAAACCCAAUCAAGUUUGCACUUCAAUUUGAUAAUAUGAUUUGUGUUGAUGUAAGCGCGAGUCCCUCUGAAGGGCUCGACCACCGUCCGGUUGCAGUGGAGGUCAGCAUCACUUAGCUGUGGCCAUCCUGGGCGCCGCGAGAAUUAGCUGAAAAAUCUUGCUGAGGUCCAGGUCACUGGCCAUCCCCAUUCAGGUGGCUAUGAAACUUGUUCCUAAUGAAGAUAAAUUUAUGGAAGUGGUUAGGGGAACAGGAGGAGCAACUUUAGCCUGGCAGGUGCUUCUCAGGUUCGAUGGCUUCCAGCAACAUCAAGGUCAUAGUGCUUUCCUCGUGGGUUCGGCCUUUGACAUUAAGGUGGAAAUUAGCAAGCAAGCUACAGUCGGUCCAUGGAUGACCAAGUUUACUGAUUACUUUAUGAAGAUGAUGAUUCCUAAAUAGAAGUACGAGCUAGGUCCUGCAUGUUGAUCGUGCUUCAAGGUACAGUUGUGAUAUAGGUGAAUGCUCAACUUUAGCUCAUAAACUGGAUGGCAAAUGCUAAUUCUGAUGGGGCUUUUGCCACUUAUUGUUUUAUGGUUGCCUAGACAGCUGAUGUCAUGCUUCUUUCUUGCUAAUUGUCAAUUCUUUUGUACAGGGUCCUUAUGCUUUGCUACACAAUGAGAGUAUGUAGAUAGAAUGUAUGGUUUUUACAUUGUUUUGUGCAGGUUGAGAUGCAUCACAUGAUAUUUUCCUCUUACAUUUAUGGGUAUUACAGAGUGCUUUCUUUUUCCACAAGGGGCAGUAGCUGUGCCAUUCUAUUCGAAGGACAAAGAGUUGAUCACAAAGGGGUAGCAUUCAGGAUAUAUACACAAAAGAGUAGAACCAAAUUAUAUGAUGUAAUUGACCACUAUUUCUAUUAACUUCUCCUGUCCACAAUGUUCGUGAGUUCAUGUAUUAAGUACAUUUUAUUGUGUCACUUGUGUUUAUUAUUUUUAAUGCAUGUUUACAGCUAC